CCUACGGGAGGCAGCAGUGAGGAAUAUUGGUCAAUGGGCGGAAGCCUGAACCAGCCAAGUCGCGUGAGGGAAUAAGGCCCUACGGGUCGUAAACCUCUUUUGCCGGGGAGCAAGGUCGGGGACGUGUCCCGUCCCGGAGAGUACCCGGAGAAAAAGCAUCGGCUAACUCCGUGCCAGCAGCCGCGGUAAUACGGAGGAUGCGAGCGUUAUCCGGUUUUAUUGGGUUUAAAGGGUGCGUAGGCGGGCUUUUAAGUCAGCGGUAAAAAUUCGGGGCUCAACCCCGUCCGGCCGUUGAAACUGGGGGCCUUGAGUGGGCGAGAAGAAGGCGGAAUGCGUGGUGUAGCGGUGAAAUGCAUAGAUAUCACGCAGAACCCCGAUUGCGAAGGCAGCCUUCCGGAGCCCUACUGACGCUGAGGCACGAAAGUGCGGGGAUCGAACAGGAUUAGAUACCCUAGUAGUC
rnacentral:rRNA from 1 species